rnacentral:rRNA from 1 species
UCAACCUGUUCCAGGGGACGUGGAUAACCUCGGGAAACUGAGAUUAAACCGCGAUAGGUCAAGAUUUCUGGAAUGGAUCCUGGCUUAAAUCUACAUGGCCCCUGGAUUGGACUGCGGCCGAUCAGGCUGUUGGUGAGGUAAUGGCCCACCAAACCUAUAACCGGUACGGGCUCUGAGAGGAGAAGCCCGGAGAUGGGCACUGAGACAAGGGCCCAGGCCCUAUGGGGCGCAGCAGGCGCGAAAACUCUGCAAUGGGCGAAAGCCUGACAGGGUUACUCUGAGUGAUUUCCGCUAAGGAGAUCUUUUGGCAGCUCUAAAAAUGGUGCAGAAUAAGGGGUGGGCAAGUCUGGUGUCAGCCGCCGCGGUAAUACCAGCACCCCGAGUGGUCGGGACGAUUAUUGGGCCUAAAGCAUCCGUAGCCGGUUGUGCAAGUCCUCCGUUAAAUCCAGCCGCUCAACGGAUGGGCUGCGGAGGAUACUACAGAACUAGGAGGCGGGAGAGGCAAGCGGUACUUAGUGGGUAGGGGUAAAAUCCUUUGAUCCAUUGAAGA